rnacentral:rRNA from 1 species
GGGUCAGUAGGUUGGUCGUGCCACCGGUACGUACUGGUCUCACUGACUCCUCCUCCCUGAAGAACCGUAAUGCCAUUAAUUUGGUGUUGCGGGGAAACAGGACUGUUACUUUGAAAAAAUUAGAGUGUUUAAAGCAAGCUAACGCUUGAAUACAUUAGCAUGGAAUAAUGAAAUAGGACGAUCGAUCCUAUUUUGUUGGUUUCUAGGAUUGACGUA